rnacentral:misc_RNA from 1 species
UCGCAUCUUACGAUGGCAGUCCCGAUAGAGUCCUCGGCAUGACCCGUUAGUAACUAUCGGCGAGGGUUGCGCUCGUUAUGGCACUUAAGCCGACACCUCACGGCACGAGCUGACGACAACCAUGCAGCACCUUCACAUUCGCCAUUGCUGGCUGCCACGUUUCCGCGACAUUCGAAUGCAAUUCAAGCCCGGGUAAGGUUCCUCGCGUAUCAUCGAAUUAAACCACAUGUUCCUCCGCUUGUGCGGGCCCCCGUCAAUUCCUUUGAGUUUCACCGUUGCCGGCGUACUCCCCAGGUGGAAUGCUUAACGUUUUCACUGUACCACUGGCCGUGUAUCGCCAACAGUUAGCAUUCAUCGUUUACUGUGCGGACUAC